UACAGAGGUGGCAAGCGUUGUUCGGAAUUACUGGGCGUAAAGGGCGCGUAGGCGGUUCGCUAAGUCGGAUGUGAAAACUCUGGGCUCAACCCAGAGCCUGCAUCCGAAACUGGCGGGCUAGAGUUCUGGAGGGGGUAGCGGAAUUCCUGGUGUAGCGGUGAAAUGCGUAGAUAUCAGGAGGAACACCGGUGGCGAAGGCGGCUACCUGGACAGAAACUGACGCUGAGGCGCGAAAGCUAGGGGAGCAAACAGG
rnacentral:rRNA from 1 species